rnacentral:lncRNA from 1 species
UUACAGUGACCGAGAGAGAAGGCUCCCUCUCCUAAACUUGGAUGAUGACGACGCCACGUAUGGACACGGAGGAGGUGGAAGGGCCAAGGACUACAGCAGAUCCCUGCGUGGAGGAGUCGAAGCUGGCGCUAUGGUGAGGCGAUCGCCAUUAGGGAGGAGGCCGGAGAGAUCCAGCGGAAUCGCGCAAGGACGGUCACGAAUCUAAGUAGUAGAUCCCCGGAUCAAGGGAGAGAGGCAUGACGGUGUCACUAGCGGCGACGAUGAUGGCUAAAGGGUGCUGACAAUAGAGACGGUAGCGGCAUUUCCUAGAAGAUUAGAGAUCGAUGGAGCUUCACCGGAGGCUCGCCGGAUUGUGGAUUAGAGUAUCCGGCGGGGACCCCUUUGCCAGAGAAGAAGGGUAAUCGUCCCGCAAUGUUGGAGAAGUCUAGUAACCGGAUCUGCAAACUCAAAAAGAUAAGAGACCUCCUGUACUUUCCAAACGUUUGAGGAUUGGUCCUAUAGUUUGCCAUUUGGGCAGUGUAAAUGACGAUUCUAUCCCUAUAAGCUUCAGUUUGUUGCAAAGAAGUAAAUGGAGCAUAACUAGAUCAUUUGAACUCCAAACGAUGCACGGUCAUAAGCUACGGAUUUUUGGCAGCGAGAGGAAUCAUGUCAAGUCAGAAUCGGAGGAGUCGGAUCUUCUUAAGAGGUAGGGUUAGGAUUAAAUUCUGCUUAUAAGCGUAGAACUGUAAUAGGUUGUCGGGAAUCCAAUUAUUUGAUUGUCCAUGUGAUUCGGAGCGAGGGCUCCCAGGACUAUACAGUAGCGUAUGAUCUACCGUACAUAUGUGGUGAUGUGUUUUAGAGCGAGGGCUCUCAGGAUGUUCAAGCAUAAAGGUCAUGUCGUUUAAACUUUGGCGUGUGAUUAACAGUUUGUGAUAGGAUUACGAUAGGUCUAGAUAGACUACUUCAUGAUUGUGAUGCGUUGGUCACCCACCCCUGGAUUGCACAUUCCCAUAUAAUUUUAUGUAUCAGGUAGGACGUGUUGAGUACACCUAUAGAUGCUGUUCACACAGAUAUUCAGGGUGGUUUUAUGGUCUGAUCCACGAUGAGGCCGUCCAUAUAGUUAGGGGUGGCUGAUGCUAGAUGCCUACAAGACCACAUGGUCACAUUACUAGAUAAUGUGAUUAGAUAGACUUCUACAUUAUAUCCUCAGUACAGUCUCAGUACUUAUCACUGACCCCAUUAGACGUUGUUUCCCCUGUUGUAUGUGUGUGUUUCAGUCACAUAUACUGGAGCUGAUGGUGGGGAGAGAGCUGGUUGGAGUAUCUUUGGAUAUCAUUUUGGUGUAUUUUUAGUAUUGUAGUUGUAUC